GCACCAGUAGUUCAGGCUUAGAACGUCGGUUUUGUAAGCCGGAUGUCGGAGAUUAGAAGUCCCCCUGGUGCU
rnacentral:tRNA from 2 species